UUGUACCAUCUUCAGUAACAUAUGCACUAAUAUUGUCACAAUACAGAGAAGAACAGCAUAGCCCUGGGGCAAGGAUAACACAAAUUCUUAAAGCAUUCUAUACAAAAUAA
ensembl:snRNA U6 U6 spliceosomal RNA